AUUGAACGCUGGCGGCAGGCCUAACACAUGCAAGUCGAGCGGAGCGGCGGAAGGGUGAGUAAUGCCUAGGAAUCUGCCUGGUAGUGGGGGAUAACGUCCGGAAACGGGCGCUAAUACCGCAUACUAUCAGAUGAGCCUAGGUCGGAUUAGCUAGUUGGUGGGGUAAAGGCCUACCAAGGCGACGAUCCGGAACUGGUAGGAGAGGAUGAUCAGUCAAACUGCAACUGUGACACGGUCUGGACUCCGACGGGAGGCACCAGUGGGGAAUAUUGGACAAUUGGCGAAAGCCUGAUCCAGCCAGGCCGCGUGUGUUAAGAAGGUCUUCGGAUUGUAAAGCCCUUUAAGUUGGGAGGCGUUACCAACAGAAUAAGCACCGGCUAACUUCGUGCCAGCAGCCGCGGUAAUAC
rnacentral:rRNA from 1 species